GUCGAGCGCUGAUUACGGGGUAGCAAUAUCUCGUAGUUGGAGCGGCGCAAGGGUGCGUAACACGUGGGUAAUCUGCCAUGAAGUUUGGGAUAACUCGCUGAAAGGCGAGCUAAUACCGGAUGUGACGAUCGGGAGGCAUCUUCUGAUCUUCAAAGUUGGGGACCGUAAGGCCUGACGCUUCAUGAUGAGCCCGCGGCCUAUCAGCUAGUUGGUGAGGUAACGGCUCACCAAGGCUAAGACGGGUAGCUGGUCUGAGAGGACGACCAGCCACACUGGAACUGAGACACGGUCCAGACACCUACGGGUGGCAGCAGUCGAGAAUUUUUCACAAUGGGGGAAACCCUGAUGGAGCGACGCCGCGUGGGGGAUGAAUGGCUUCGGCCCGUAAACCCCUGUCAUUCGCGAACAAUGCCUGUGGUCUAAUAAAUCACAGGUUGAUAGUAGCGGAAGAGGAAGGGACGGCUAACUCUGUGCCAGCAGCCGCGGUAAUACAGAGGUCCCAAGCGUUGUUCGGAUUCACUGGGCGUAAAGGGUGCGUAGGCGGUCGGGUAAGUCUGAUGUGAAAUCUCGGAGCUCAACUCCGAAACUGCAUUGGAUACUAUUCGGCUUGAGGUCUGGAGGGGGGACUGGAAUUCUCGGUGUAGCAGUGAAAUGCGUAGAUAUCGAGAGGAACACCAGUGGCGAAGGCGAGUCCCUGGACAGGUCCUGACGCUGAGGCACGA
rnacentral:rRNA from 1 species